UUCACUUUCAAGAGUGGCAAAGUCUUUCCAUAUGUGUGUAUAUAUGCUACACAUACGGAAAGACUUUGCCACUCUUGAAAGUGAAGA
rnacentral:pre_miRNA from 1 species